AUCAGAGCUCAGAUGUGAAACACAUGCUGGGGCUGACCUUUUGCUGACAUCAGUUAAUGUCUCGCUGAUAUUGAAAUACCAGGUGGUCAUUUGCAUCUGAAAUGUCCGUGGUGAAUUUUACUCCUUUCUCUUCUCGCCCCUUGCCUGGCUGAGAGCAGCACUGACAACUCCAACCACUCGAAAAUGAAAAUCAGGGUAUGGGUCUAAAAAGCACAAGCAGAGUGGCUGGAAAAUCACCGUGCUUCUAAAAAUAGGGCAGGUGGGGGCUGUUGGGCUUGCUGUGUGAGGCCCAGCAGGAUGGAGGUGACU